AAGAUGUAGUGCUGGAGACAUUAUCGACUUAAAAUCUGAUCAAGUCUCUAAUCUCGGAAAUUCCAGUUCCAACAGACUAGCUAGUUUCCAAAAUGGUGCUCACAUUGAAGCUCGAAAUGAGCUGGUGAAACCGAGUGAGGAGUUAAGGCCUAAUGUAAAUAACUCUAGUUUCUUUCCUGAUGCAAUUGUCCACUCUCAGGGUGAGAGUGACAGGUUUAUGGCUGCCGCUGCUGCCUAUCACAUGUCUGAAUUGGGAAGGUUUGGG
rnacentral:misc_RNA from 1 species